UUGGGCCACGGGAGGCAGCAGUGGGGAAUAUUGGGCAAUGGGCGAAAGCCUGACCCAGCAACGCCGCGUGAGUGAAGAAGGCCUUCGGGUUGUAAAGCUCUGUUAUAGGGGACGAAGGAAGUGACGGUACCCUAUAAGGAAGCCCCGGCUAACUACGUGCCAGCAGCCGCGGUAAU
rnacentral:rRNA from 1 species